UACGGGGGGGGCAAGCGUUGUUCGGAAUUACUGGGCGUAAAGGGCUCGUAGGCGGCCAACUAAGUCGGAUGUGAAAUCCCCAGGCUUAACCUGGGAACUGCAUCCGAUACUGGAUGGCUUGAAUUCGGGAGAGGGAUGCGGAAUUCCAGGUGUAGCGGUGAAAUGCGUAGAUAUCUGGAGGAAUACCGGUGGCGAAGGCGGCAUCCUGGACCGAGAUUGACGCUGAUGAGCGAAAGCUAGGGGAGCAAACGGG
rnacentral:rRNA from 1 species